UUCAUCUCCCUUCUCUUGAAUCCUCGAAGAAUUUUUUUUUUUUGCUUUUUCUUUCAUGGCUGCCGGGAAUAGUUCAUCUCCCUCAAAAGGUAUGGGCUUACCGCACCAUUUGACGUUGAAAUGGGAAUUGCACCAAGUUGUACAAGACUUGAAUCAAUUUUGGCAAAAUAGUGAAUGAAAACUUUAGAGAGUACUAGGUCUUGAUAGUGAUGAAGUCUUGAAUCAAUUUUGGCAAAAUCACUAUUGGUUGGUGUUGUUUCUCAUGAUGGAAUGAGAGUUUAUUUCACUACAAAGAAUGGAACUCUGCUUGAACUAUCUGAGCUUGAACCUCCAAGAUUGGUAGAUCACGGCCAGCCCCGUGACGCCAAUGUUGCAGCAGUAGCAGAUGUUGCUUGUUUCAGAACAAAGAUUGUGUAUACAAUAAGAUGAUAGGAGGGAUGAUCCUUUGGGUCUCCUAUCAAAUUAAUGGACCUACGAGAGGCUUGGUUUAUGAAGUUACUGUUGAUUAUUCGUAACUAUGUUUCCUACGCAAUGGUUCAUCAUGAAGUGCUAAGAAUUCAAGAAAACAAAGUGGAGUCGUUGACUUGGGAGGAUUGGGAAGUUUUUAAAGGAUUACCAGUUGCAAUCAAGUACAAUUAAAUUUGUUGUUAUUGGCUUCUGUUGAUGAAACAAGUAAGCAAAAUAACUUAUUGCCAAGCUUUAAUUUCUAGAAAGGGAAGAAUAACUCUCAUAAUAAAUAGAUGAUUGUUUAGCCGGCAAAAGUAUUUCAACUACGUACGCUCCAAUUUUCCUUCUUCUUUCUUUCAUCUCUCGCACUGUAAGCUUUCCUUCUUCCAUUUCUUCUCUUCAAAUUUUCUUUCAAUCUUUGACACUGAACCACAGAUUCCACAGUUUUCUUCAUUACCAUGGAUGCAGUGCUGUGAUCUGCAAUCCUAAGGAUCCGUGAUCUCUCACAUUUCCACUCUCUCUCCAUUUCUUCUUGCUUUAUUUGUGUAGAUGCUGAACCUACGUACCAGUCCGUCAGAGCAACAACACACGAAACCGUGAUUGAUGUUGAACUCAACCAAACGUGCCAUUUGUAGUUUCCAAGGUUGCGAGUCGUUUUUUUUAAGUAAGAUUAAUUGUUAUGACUGAAAAUUUGGUUUCUAGCUAGUUCUUCCUGCUCCACUGUUGCCAAAUGUGGGGAUGAUGAAGAGAAAUCAAGUGGUUCCAAUGUCGCCACCACCUCCAGUUUCAAGCUAGUUCUUCCUGCUCUCCAUUGUUUCUUCUUCUUUGAAUGAUUUUAACUAGAUCUUAAGAAAUCUGAGGUUUUGUUUGAAUCCAUUGGAGCAGCGAAACUAUAUUUGUGGCAAUUCAUUGAUGUAUAGGCAUUUUUGUAGGUUUGGUAGGAAAAUUUCCGGUUUAAAUGUACUUAUUUAAAUAGCUAGCUUGUUCGUAACAAACCAUAUAUAUACCAACACUUAAAGCGAUAUU